rnacentral:rRNA from 1 species
AUUGAACGCUGGCGGCAGGCCUAACACAUGCAAGUCGAACGAGUGGCGGACGGGUGAGUAAUGUCUGGGAAACUGCCUGGUGGAGGGGGAUAACUACUGGAAACGGUAGCUAAUACCGCAUACCAUCAGAUGUGCCCAGAUGGGAUUAGCGUGUUGGUGGGGUAACGGCUCACCAGUGUGACGCUCCCUAGCUGGUCUGAGAGGAGGACCAGCCACAAUGGAACUGAGACACGGGCCAGACACCGACGGGAGGCAGCAGUGGGUAAUAUUGGACAAUGGGCGCAAGCCUGAUGCAGCCAUGCCGCGUGUAUGAAGAAGGCCUUCGGGUUGUAAAGUACUUUCAGCGGGGAGGCGUUACCCGCAGAGGAAGCACAGGGUAACUCCGUGCCAGCAGCCGCGGUAAUAC